rnacentral:rRNA from 1 species
AGUGAACGCUGGCGGUAGGCCUAACACAUGCAAGUCGAACGGCAGCACAGUAAGAGCUUGCUCUUACGGGUGGCGAGUGGCGGACGGGUGAGGAAUACAUCGAAAUCUACUUUUUCGUGGGGGAUAACGUAGGGAAACUUACGCUAAUACCGCAUACGACCUACGGGUGAAAGCAGGGGAUCUUCGGACCUUGCGCGAUUGAAUGAGCCGAUGUCGGAUUAGCUAGUUGGCGGGGUAAAGGCCCACCAAGGCGACGAUCCGUAGCUGGUCUGAGAGGAUGAUCAGCCACACUGGAACUGAGACACGGUCCAGACUCCUACGGGAGGCAGCAGUGGGGAAUAUUGGACAAUGGGCGCAAGCCUGAUCCAGCCAUACCGCGUGGGUGAAGAAGGCCUUCGGGUUGUAAAGCCCUUCUGUUGGGAAAGAAAAGCAGCAGGUUAAUACCCCGCUGUUCUGACGGUACCCAAAGAAUAAGCACCGGCUAACUUCGUG